CAUCUCUCAGGGUCACACCUGGAGAGUUUCCAGUACUCUAUCUACUAGUCUCGGCUACGGGAGGGAGAGUCAAGCAGAGGCACACCCAUUCCAUUCCUAGCUUGGUCAGUGGCCAGCGAGUGGAAGGCAAUCUGCUACAAGU
rnacentral:snoRNA from 1 species